UUUUUUGAGCACAGCGUGGAUUUUUCUUCUUGUUCUAUCCACCAAAUGGCAAAUACCAAAAACCAAACUGAACAGCCUACCUCCACCACACCACAAUCGAAUAAAGAAAUAAAAAUCAAAAAGAAAAUGUCAAAUAUUUUUCGUUUUCGUAUAAAAAUUAGUUUCGUUUCGUCUAAAAUUCUUGUUAAAUUUGUUUAAAUUUCUUUGAAUGUUUUUCAGAAUUUUACAAAUUAUAUUAAAGUGAUAUUUUAGUGAUACCGCUAAGCACGAAAUUAAAGCAUUCUUAUUUGUUAUAAUAUUUUUGUGGUGAAAAAAUAGAGAUGAAUAAAUUCAUGUCAAAUUAUACAAUUUGGUUUCUGCAUCUUUUGUGUUCUUGUAAACAAAUUAGAAUUUAUGUUAGUGCCAAUAUAACUUGAGUCGAAAAAGUGAAUAAUUUUUUAAAUAUACAUAAAUGCAAAUGCAAUUGAAGGAGCAAUUUGUAGGUGUCAUCAACUUAAAAACGCAACUUGCAUCGGAAGUUCCUGUUUGAUUGAACAAAUUAUGGGAGGACAACAAAAAAUAUUUUACAAUAUUUUGUUGCGAAAACCCGCAGCAGAUUUCCAAAAUCAUCUAUUUAAUUCAUGAUAAAAUUAUUGUAUGCACAAAUUAAUAGAAUAAACUUUUUAAAUCAAUAAAAAUAAAUACGACUUACAACUUAAGCCUAUGAUUAAAAAAAAAGAACUUCUUACUAUAUGCAUUUUAUUUAUAAACUUUUUUUACUUUUUAAUUUUCAUUUUUUCUCAGAGAAAAGUUCAAGAGAAUUCCUGUUUUAUAUGCAAUCCUU